rnacentral:rRNA from 1 species
GAUGAACGCUGGCGGCGUGCCUAAUACAUGCAAGUCGAGCGAACAGACGAGGAGCUUGCUCCUCUGACGUUAGCGGCGGACGGGUGAGUAACACGUGGAUAACCUACCUAUAAGACUGGGAUAACUUCGGGAAACCGGAGCUAAUACCGGAUAACAUGUUGAACCGCAUGGUUUAAUAGUGAAAGACGGUCUUGCUGUCACUUAUAGAUGGAUCCGCGCCGCAUUAGCUAGUUGGUAAGGUAACGGCUUACCAAGGCAACGAUGCGUAGCCGACCUGAGAGGGUGAUCGGCCACACUGGAACUGAGACACGGUCCAGACUCCUACGGGAGGCAGCAGUAGGGAAUCUUCCGCAAUGGGCGAAAGCCUGACGGAGCAACGCCGCGUGAGUGAUGAAGGUCUUCGGAUCGUAAAACUCUGUUAUUAGGGAAGAACAAAUGUGUAAGUAACUAUGCACGUCUUGACGGUACCUAAUCAGAAAGCCACGGCUAACUACGUG